rnacentral:rRNA from 1 species
GACGAACGCUGGCGGCGUGCCUAAUACAUGCAAGUGGGACGCAAGGGAACACACUGUGCUUGCACACCGUGUUUUCUUGAGUCGCGAACGGGUGAGUAACGCGUAGGUAACCUGCCUAUUAGCGGGGGAUAACUAUUGGAAACGAUAGCUAAUACCGCAUAAUAUUAAUUAUUGCAUGAUAAUUGAUUGAAAGAUGCAAGCGCAUCACUAGUAGAUGGACCUGCGUUGUAUUAGCUAGUUGGUAAGGUAAGAGCUUACCAAGGCGACGAUACAUAGCCGACCUGAGAGGGUGAUCGGCCACACUGGGACUGAGACACGGCCCAGACUUCCUACGGGAGGCAGCAGUAGGGAAUCUUCGGCAAUGGACGAAAGUCUGACCGAGCAACGCCGCGUGAGUGAAGAAGGUUUUCGGAUCGUAAAGCUCUGUUGUAAGUCAAGAACGUGUGUGAGA